UACAUGUGGGGCAAGCGUUGUUCGGAAUUACUGGGCAUAAAGGGUGCGUAGGUGGCUUGGUAAGUCAGUGGUGAAAUCGUCCGGCCCAACCGGACACGUGCCAAUGAUACUGCCGAGCUCGAGUGCGUGAGGGGUGGGGGGAACGAGCAGUGUAGCGGUGAAAUGCGUAGAUAUUGCUCGGAAGGCCAAAGCCGAAGGGACCCCACUGGUACGUAACUGACACUGAGGCACGAAAGCGUGGGGAGCAAACAGG
rnacentral:rRNA from 1 species